rnacentral:rRNA from 1 species
GAUGAACGCUGGCGGCGUGCCUAAUACAUGCAAGUCGAGCGAACAGACGAGGAGCUUGCUCCUCUGACGUUAGCGGCGGACGGGUGAGUAACACGUGGAUAACCUACCUAUAAGACUGGGAUAACUUCGGGAAACCGGAGCUAAUCCCGGAUAAUAUAUUGAACCGCAUGGUUCAAUAGUGAAAGACGGUUUUGCUGUCACUUAUCGAUGGAUCCGCGCCGCAUUAGCUGGUUGGUAAGGUAACGGCUUACCAAGGCAACGAUGCGUAACCGACCUGAGAGGGUGAUCGGCGACACGAGAACUGAGACACGGUCCAGACUCCUACGGGAGGCAGCAGUAGGGAAUCUUCCGCAAUGGGCGAAAGCCUGACGGAGCAGCGCCGCGUGAGUGAUGAAGGUCUUCGGAGCGUAAAACUCUGUUAUUAGGGAAGAACAAAUGUGUAAGUAACUAUGCACGUCUUGACGGUACCGAAUCAGAAAGCCACGGCUAACUACGUG